UUUUUUUUUUUUUUUUUUUUUUCACGCAUAUAUCUUUAUUUCACACAUUAAAAUUAUUACAAGUAUAUAGUCAUAGUAUAUAGUUUGCCCCACCAAACGAAUAUUUCCUAUUAUAAGGUAAAAAGACAAAAAGACAAAAAAAAAAAAAAAAAAACAACAACAACAACAACACGAGUGCCAUAUCUUUUUUUCUCUUUCCUCUCCCCCCAAAGUACCGGCUUUACAAGUAAAUACUAUCAAUAAAUAGAAAUAUCAUCCACUAAUAGGUAGCAUGUAUAUAUAAACAAACUCUCUCAAUAUUACUAUUAUUAAAAAAGAAAUCAUAGAACACAGUGAUGGACUAAUGAUAAUUUAAAAACAAUAGAUUUUUUUUAAACAAAGCAAAAGACAACGAUCCCAAACACCACAUUUUCGUCGCAUUAAAAGAAUUAAAAGUCCGUCUUUAUUAUUGUUAGUUCAAACUCGUCGAGAGCCACCUCCGCUAUUUUUGGAGAAGGGCAGACACCUCUGAACCGCGCCGAAGAGAUAAGAGUCUGUAGCUUGCAUAUCACCUUCGAUGCCAAACGUAGUCCCUUGUUGGUUCCUUCGAAGCCGUACAGAAGCUCGUGGUUUGAUGGCUUCCUACCCAAUUUGGACUCGACACCUUGGCUCACUUCAUGUUGCCCGGUCGUCAUUGAAGAGCCCUUCCGUGAAAAAGACCCGAGACGAGAUGCGAUAUUUCAUGUACAUUUGCUUUGGUGUAAGAAUAGGAUCCCAAACACGCUUGAUGAAGUCCUGUACUCCUUUGGUUUCCCUCGCAGCCUCUCUAAAUUUGUC
rnacentral:lncRNA from 1 species